GCGGGUAUCGUAUAUUGGCUAUUACCACAGAUUUCCAAUCUGUUGAGGUGGGUUCGAUUCCCACUACCCGCU
rnacentral:tRNA from 1 species